GACAUGGGUGUAUCUUGCUUAUGAAGCAUAAAUUUGAAUCGAUUGAAAUGUUCAAACGAUUCUGUAAUGAGAUAGAAAAAUAAACUAUAAAAAAUAUUAAAACUCAUCGGUCAGACCAAUGAAGUGAAUAUCUUUACAGUAAAUUUUGACAUAUCUAAAAAAAAUAGAUUCUCUCUUAAUAGACCUCUCCUAAGAUAUCACUAUUUAAAAGAGGCUUUGAAAGGAGGAAUUAAACUUUGUUAGACAUGGUUCGGUCCAUUGUGAGUUUGCUAGUCUAUCUGAAAUCAUAUUUUAGAGACUACUUGAUAUAUGCUUAAGAAUGUUCC
rnacentral:lncRNA from 1 species